CGGGUCUUGUGCUCAAAUCUUGAAAUGUUAUAUAUAUUUUUCUCCAAACACAGUAGAAAAAAACGCAAGUGCAGUUUAUAGAAUCCCGCUUGUGUCAAAUCGCAGCCCGAGUCCUUUGUAGAAUAUUUAGGAGUCAAUAUCAUGAAAUAAAGCAGAGUAUACAGGGAGAUUCCUUUGGAAAUUAACAAUCGAUGUUAUAAAAUAUACAGUGGUAGGUCGAUUGGCAUUGGAAACAAGUGGAAGCAUCUCGCUCCGGUGGAAGAUCCAGUCUGCUGUUCUGGUAAAUCCAAGAUUUCCAGACUCAACACUGAACUGACUGAUGUCUGGGGAUGGAUAUUUUUUGCAGUGUUGCAAUCUACGGCUGGAGGGGCUGGGGGGCUCUGACAGGCACAAUUUACAUUGAGCUCGCCCCGCGCUGCUAUUUACUUUGAAACCUGAUUAGUAUGGGCCGUCUAUUGUCACCAAAAAGAGGAAGAAACCCUGAAUAGAAUAGCAGAAAAAGCGGGGUAAAGGCAAGGGGGGACAAAGCUUUUACGCACGACAAAUAAACCAAAAACUGUGCGCAGCGGCGAAAGGGGGACUCUGGCUCAGAAAUUCCCCAAAGUUUCAAAAUGGUUUGUCUUGGACUCGUAUCUUUAUUAUAAAAUUAACGGAUGUCAUUAUUGGUUUGAGGCGGAUUUAUAUUUCCACACGUUGUUUUGUCUUUGGCAUGCGCAUUGCGGUACAUCCUCGUCUGUAAUCGGCACAGUCUCGCUGAUUAAAACUUACAAUUUAGUUAAAACGAUCUUAUAAAGGGAGGAAAAUGUCAAUGGGGAGAAUGAUGCAUAAAAGACAGUGUGUUAUACAAACGUGAUGCCGUGCCAGCGGCCGAAAAUCUCUAAAAUUAGACGGAGCAAUAAGCAAUAUUCAAUAAUUACCGAGGUCCUAUAGUCUCCACAAUCACUGAGCUGGUGUCACAUUAUGUCUUAAUAAUGACAGUAAUUCAAAAUCAUGUGAAGUUGCUGGGAAUUUGCAUGGGGAUUCCGGCUUUUUUGUAUCAGGGUUUUUGCAGGCUUACUACCUCUCCAACUCAAAAAUGUCUGGAUCGCGCUGCCAUCUAGCGUACAUUGUACAAUUACAACCUCAUAUUAAUGCAUGCACAAGUCAUCAAACAUGAAUUUUUUAAACUUAAAAGUUGGUUUUAAAAAUAAAAUGAAGCCCAAUUUUGCGUGCCGGUUCCUCUCGUCUUUUUUGACUUUCUCAAAAGUGUGAUCUUUUUAUUAUAAGGAUGUAAAACGGAGAAAAAAACUUUGAAAGAAUAAUAAUAAAUAGAGAUUGUAUUACCAAAAUAUUAUAAUAGUCCCAAAAGUGCACUAGUUCUUUGAUAACAUGUGGUUAAGAUGGGACUUAAAGUCAAAAAGAUGUUCGUAAAUUAUCUCCAAAAACAUGAUAAUACACCAUGUUGCAAAAGAAUAACCAUUUAUAAAACAUCAAAUUCUUACUUAAUACAAAUAAACUAAGUUACUGUGCACAGGUCUUUAACCACACAAAGAUAUUAGCAGAUAUAACGGAGCGUAAAUAUGCAAGUGCCUCCUUUGGAAACGCAUAGGAGGGAUGGGUUGUUUUUUAAGUAUUCAACAAGAGAGCUCUCUCUCCCGUCCCUGUCUCGGACACUCCACUGAAACUCCCCGGCCAUAUCUCCAGCUCUUUGAAAAGGUGAAACCAAUAAGAUUAAAUCGGACAAAGAAUUUUUUUCUGUAAGUGUAUCAUUAAGAUUUAACUCCACAGAUUGGAAAGGGGGCUCCGCAGGAGAAGAGGAGAGGAGAGUGAGAGGGACAGCGAAUGGGAGCAGGGUAGGGGCUCUAAUAGAAAGCUGGGAAACGGCGAGAGAAAAAGGAGAAAGUGGACAGCAGGACAUUAAAAGAAGAAGGACCAGCGACGGCGGUUAGCAGUGGAGGAGCAGCUUUCUACCUGGAUAAAACCAGCCACCGAUAAAGGCAAAAAGCGACAUGGCGGCCAGGCAUUCGGAAACACAGCGGGACGUGUCGGUGUGGUGCAAGGACUGACACUGGGAUGAGAUGUAAUUUAUGGAGAGUGCUGUUUGAUUAUAGGACAGUGACGGUACUGCUUAGCAAGAGCGUCGGGCUCACUUAACGUGACAGCCCUGCACUGACAGGCCUUAUUGUACUUGAUCAUAUAUGUGGUGAAUAUAACAUUAAGUGUAAAUGAAUAGUCACUCUCAGGGUAGAUUCCUCUGAAUUUUAUUGCUCGGUUCAGAUUUUGUUUCUUUUAAUUCAGUGAAUUACUGGAGUGUGUGUUUAUCAAGUGCUAUCCCAAGCUUUUUCAACUCCGAAAUGAAUCCAAGCAUCCUGGAACUCAAAUUCUUUCUCAGUGAUUUGUUUUGGAAAAAGACCAUAGUGUGUUUUUUGGGAAACUGGCAGCUGAUCUUUUCAUAGCUAGAGGUCAACAUAACACUCAGUAUUAAUAAAACAAAUAAGACUAGGAUGGAUAUUAAUGAUGAUAUAUACAGAUGUACUGCGCAUGAGCUUGAGUUAUGUGUGAGAAGGAGCGCGAAGGAGAGACACUCUCACACGUUUGUGUGUUUAUUUGACUCUGUGUGUGUGUGUGUGUGUGUGUGUGUGUGAUAGCCGAGUCAGUUUCCCCUCAGAUGUUCCCUUGACCUUUGACCCCACUGUUGGGGUCAAGCCCUGACAAAUGAGAUGGUCGAGUUCUGGCCAGAACUGCAAACAUUCCACAACAAUCUUCUGUCCUCCUCCUCCCCUCUCCUCAUAUCCGUCAUUCCUCACCCCUUCACUCCUCUCAGUAUGUCUCCUCCACGACUUAGAGAGAGAGUCAGAGAAAGUUCUCAUUACACACAAGCAUGUUUUAUUGAAUUUGCUGUGGGAAUCUUAUAAAGCACACACCCUUCAAAUUAAGAAUUACAACAUCGGUUUAAUUUAAUAUCCCCGACAUCUGCCUUGUUUACAGUAGGAGAGAAAACAAAAAGAGUAUGAUCUUAGAGGAGAAGCUGUGUUAAAAGAUUUGGAUAUUACAAGCGUGCACUUUGAAAGCACACUGUGUGUGUUUGGAAAGCUUGUCAGUGAUGUCAAGGAUGAGAAAUGUUGCAGUGUGGUUUUUUACACACGCUGCUGGCUCUAGCAUUUCCGGCAACAUUUCUCACUCUGCCUCCCUCACACCAUCCGCUCUGCUGCAAUAUCCCCACAUUUUUCCAUCCUUUCACUUCUUCCCCUUCCCACCCUCCCUCCCCGUUCGCUUUCUCUCCACUCUCUGACCACUCUUGCUCCCUUUACCCUUCCUCUCGGCUGCACCACCCUGCCCAAUCUCAGCCGCUCCCUCCCUCCUCUCUCCUCCCAGCACAUUCACUCACCCACCCCCCUCCUCCUUUUUUCCUCCACCCACUAUUUUCUCUGAUUUUCUAACAUGCCGUUCCACAGAAUGCUACCACCUGUGUCUUUAGGGGGAAAAAAGGGGGGCUAUUGGUAUUCCUCUUUGGGAAGCUGGUUAAGGUAAGUGGCACCCUCUAUUACAAUGACACGGCAAAUAAUGGUUCUGCCUGUUGUGUUUCUGUAUUAACUUUCUUUUUUUCCAUGGAGUGACCCCGGCUUCCUAAGCAUCACCACCCUCCAUCAGAGCUCUAGCUACAAGUCACUGCUGUAAAAACACACACACAGUCACCAUCGAUGAAUGUCAGCAGAGCAGCCACAGUGCCACAAAGGAGCCUGGAGACCAACAAAGCCGGCUGAUACAGUAACGCUGAGUGGAUCAUGCUCUUGAACUUGCUUUCAUAAUGAUGUAAUAUUACUAAAAGGCAAUGCAACACAGCAAAGAUCUUAAUAAAAACACAUCAAUCUCGA